AGCUCUCCCCCUCCGCCCCCUCCCCUCGGGAGGCCCUCUCCGGCGGAGGCCGGGCCCGCGCCGGCGGUGGGUCACGCGCCUGCGAGCCGCGGAGCUCUGCUCUGCAGUGGGCCGAGGGGCGGGCUGCGGCUUUCCGUGGGGCUUCCCAAGGCCGCUGGCGCACAGGCCGGCCAUCAGCGCUUCCUCGCUGCUGGUUACUGCUCGUUUUCGUUUAGUGGGGACUGAGUCGCUCUUUAUACACGCCUCCGAAAUAGGUAGGAUACCUUUGGCCUGGGGAGUGCUGCAGAGGCCAGAGACCUUGUCCACCCAGGCUUUUGCUCUGCAGACCUUUUCCGUAAGCGACUGUUUACGUGGAAAUGCCACUGGAGAUUUUCUGUAAAGCUGGUAAAAUGAACUGUUACAGAUAUUUCUGCUGUGAUUGCGAACUGCACUUACUGAGUAGGUCAUGGGCACUGACUGGAGAGAUGAAACAACACGGAGAAAAGAGCUGUAGGCAGAGACUUUGUAGUCAAGAGGUGGUCCACUGGUAUUACACUGAGACCCCCUCAGCAACUGGCCAACAGACCCGGUUCAUCACUCCUGUGAGAAUUGCUAUUGAGGAGUAAAUUUGUGUUUGAGUGAUUAUGUAAUUUUUUAAUGUAUUAUUAUGUUGAGUCUUAGUCAUGUUAAUUGUUUUAAAUGAUAGUUUUGAUACUUUGAGGUAAGCUUUUUGUGGUUUUUUGUUUGAGUUUUUUGGUAACUAAAUAUUAUACAAGAU